rnacentral:rRNA from 1 species
AUUGAACGCUGGCGGCAGGCUUAACACAUGCAAGUCUAGCGAGAGGCGGACGGGUGAGUAACGUCUGGGAAACUGCCUGAUGGAGGGGGAUAACUACUGGAAACGGUAGCUAAUACCGCAUACCAUCAGAUGUGCCCAGAUGGGAUUAGCUAGUAGGUGGGGUAAUGGCUCACCUAGGCGCCGAUCCCUAGCUGGUCUGAGAGGAUGACCAGCCACACUGGAACUGAUACACGGUCCAGACGCCAGCGGGAGGCAGCAGUGGGGAAUAUUGCACAAUGGGCGCAAGCCUGAGGCAGCAAUGCCGCGUGUGUGAAGAAGGCCUUCGGGUUGGAAAGCACUUUCAGCGAGGAGGCGUUACUCGCAGAAGAAGCACCGGCUAACUCCGUGCCAGCCGCCGCGGUAAUUC